rnacentral:rRNA from 1 species
UACGUAGGGGGCAAGCGUUGUCCGGAUUUAUUGGGCGUAAAGAGCGUGUAGGCGGUUUGGUAGGUCCGUUGUGAAAACUCGAGGCUCAACCUCGAGACGCCGGCGGAAACCAUCAGGCUAGAGUCCGGAAGAGGAGAGUGGAAUUCCUGGUGUAGCGGUGAAAUGCGCAGAUAUCAGGAAGAACACCCGUGGCGAAGGCGGAUCUCUGGGCCUUACCUGACGCUCAGGUGCGAAAGCUAGGGGAGCGAACAGG